ensembl:lncRNA
GGGUAAAUAAUCUGUUCCUUUGCCUCAAUAUGACUUCCUUAGCAAAGAUCCCACUUGCACAGGCUCUUAUCUGUUCAUUUUUAGAAUAGUUGGAAAUCCUGCUGAAAAAAUGAUACCGUUUCUCACAACAUACGAGACCAACCUUCUUCCGUGGAAGUGAGAAAAGCAAACUUUUGGUGACACUCGCGCCCUCGAUUAUGCAAGCUGACAGUGGCGAAAGAGAGUCAGAUUUAUAAAGGAAACUGCUCAGCAGAGGAGUUUUGAAGGAUUUAGAGAAUUGCCUGGUGGUACUGAGCCCAUGACAGAGAGGACAAACUUGUCAUCGUUGGGCAGCCUCUCCCUGGAGCCACAAAGAGUAUGUAUAUUCAGGUCUCAUCUUGUGUGGAGUGAGGAGGUGGCUGGGAUGGCUGUUGGUGGCUGAGGAAAGACCCUU